rnacentral:rRNA from 1 species
GUCGAGGGGCAGCGGGGAGUGAGGCUUGCCUUACUUUGCCGGCGACCGGUGCACGGGUGAGUAACACGUAUGCAACCUACCCUUUACAGCGGGAUAACCGGAAGAAAUUUCGCCUAAUACCGCAUAUACUCCUUGGGAGGCAUCUUCCGAGGGGGGAAGAAUUUCGGUGAAGGAUGGGCAUGCGUCGCAUUAGUUAGUUGGCGGUGUAACGGACCACCAAGGCGACGAUGCGUAGGGGUUCUGAGAGGAAGGUCCCCCACACUGGUACUGAGACACGGACCAGACUCCUACGGGAGGCAGCAGUGAGGAAUAUUGGUCAAUGGCCGAGAGGCUGAACCAGCCAAGUCGCGUGAGGGAAGAAUGUCCUAUGGAUUGUAAACCUCUUUUGUCAGGGAGCAAAGUCACCCACGUGUGGGUGUUGGAGAGUACCUGAAGAAAAAGCAUCGGCUAACUCCGUGCCAGCAGCCGCGGUAAUACGGAGGAUGCGAGCGUUAUCCGGAUUUAUUGGGUUUAAAGGGUGCGUAGGCGGGUUAUCAAGUCAGCGGUAAAAUCGUGGAGCUCAACUCCAUCCAGCCGUUGAAACUGAUGAUCUUGAGUGGGCGAGAAGUAUGCGGAAUGCGUGGUGUAGCGGUGGAAUGCAUAGAUAUCACGCAGAACUCCGAUUGCGAAGGCAGCAUACCGGCGCCCGACUGACGCUGAAGCACGAAAGCGUGGGUAUCGAACAGGAUUAGAUACCCUGGUAGUCCACGCAGUAAACGAUGAAUACUAAUUGUGUGCUCCGAAUGAGGAGUGCGUGAUACAGCGAAAGCGUUAAGUAUUCCACCUGGGGAGUACGCCGGCAACGGUGAAACUCAAAG